rnacentral:rRNA from 1 species
GGAGUCUGGGCCGUGUCUCAGUCCCAAUGUGGCCGUUCAUCCUCUCAGACCGGCUAUGUAUCAUCGCCUUGGUGGGCCGUUACCUCACCAACAAGCUAAUACAGCGUAAGCCCAUCCCACAGCGGUGCAAACGCACCUUUAAUAAUUAGAAGAUGCCUUCCAAUUACCUAUGCGGUAUUAAUAGUCGUUUCCAACUGCUAUCCCCCACUUUGGGGCAGGUUGCCUACGUAUUACUCACCCGUUCGCCACUAACUCGAUCAAAAAGCAAGCUUUCUGAUUUUGUCCGUUCGACUUGCAUGUAUUAAGCACGCCGCCAGCGUUCAUC